CCCCUCCCAUCAUGGAUGGCUGGCGACGUGUUUAAAGGGGUUAGGCUCGGCAGUGUUGACAGAAGCUCGCAUUGUCAUUUGUUUGCUAAACACCACCAAUGAAAUGGGAGCUGCAGCUAAACGGGUUGGUGUUAACUUGAUCUUUGGGUUGACGAAACAUGGGAGGUGAGUGAAUCCCCUCCAGACACUAAAGCAGCGUUUGAGUCAAACUACACUGAACACAAGGACCUCCAAUCUACAAUGUAAUCUAUAUACCCUGCAUUCUGCCAUCAAAAACAUCAAACGAGGCGGCAUUGCAUUCCCAUUGGAAUUAAGUCAAGAGACCUCCGUCACUUGGCUUUGGCCUAGUUUGACUCUCCUCAAUAACGUCAUUUAGACAGUUUGGGUUCUGGUCACGCAGGAGCGUCAGCAGGGCAGGUCUGGCUCUCCGGGUCAGGGGCGUCACUCUCAGAGACGAAGCACACUGUGCUGGGUUCCCAGCAGAGGGGGGUGUUGCCCCCUGGUUACUGGGGAUUGCAUGAGAGUGCCAGCAGCAGCAGUAGCAGCAUUAGCACGACCAGAAUAGCCCAGUUUAACGCUUGGUCCUGGGGGGGGGCCAGCCUGUAAUUGACAGUGCGUUAGGAACGUUGGCCUUUGGCCCGGCACUGUACUGCGCCAGGGGAGCUCGGAAAGAGGAGUGAGGCAUCGGGUGUUAGUGCUGCACAAGAAACAUUGGUGUCUGUACUGGUUAGGAGCUAGGUCUUUCAGAGCAACGUGCAGGUUGGCAUUCCUGGGUCGAUUGCAAAUCGGUUAAAAAAGGUUAAGUCAUAUUUAAUUGCAUUACGACUGGAAUCAUUUUUGUAAUGCAAUGUGCACGCACAGACCACAGAACUCGAACAUGAUGCAACCAAAGGUAAGAGAAAUGCUAGAGUGCAAAUGCUAAUGUCAACCUGCACAUUGCUCUUAACCGUACCAGUAAAGUGCUAGGACUUAAACCGUACCAGUAAAGUGCUAGGUCUUUAACCGUACCAGUAAAGUGCCAAACCUUUAACUGUACCAGUAAAGCACCGGUUCUUUCACUGUACCAGAAAAGUGCCGUGCCUUUAAACGUACGAGUAAAGUGACGGGCCUUUAACCGUACCAGUAAAGUGCCGGGCCUUUUACCGUACCAGUAAAGUGCCAGACCUUUAACCGUACCUUUGAAGAUCUAUACCUUUAACUGUACCGGUAAAGUAUUACGCUAUAAGCUGUAUCAGGAAAGAGCCGGUUCUUUCAAUGUACCAUUAAAGAUCUGUUUCUUUAACUGUAGAAGUAAAGACCCAUGUCUUUAACCGUACCAGUAAAGAGUCACGUCUUCGACUGUACCAGUAAAGAGUCACGUCUUUGACUGUACCAGUAAAGAGUCAUGUCUUUAAAUGUACCAGUAAAGAGUCAUGCCUUUAAUCGUACCAGUAAAGAGUCAUGCCUUUAAUCGUACC
ensembl:lncRNA